AAAUAAAAAAAUAAAUAUUUUUGGUAAAAAAUUAGGUAUUUAUAAAUUAAGAAGGGCGUAAUUAUUAUACGAAAAAUUUUAUUGAGUUAAAAACUAAAACAUUAAUUUAAAAAUACCCUAAUAUGUUAACAUUUUAAACUAUUACAAAAUAAAUAUGUAAUAAGAAUAAACUCAGAAAAUUGAAAUAUCUUAAUAUCUUAUGGAAAAUAAAAUUAAAAAUUAUGAUUCUCAAAAUAUUGAUGAAAGAAAUGAGAAAUAAACCUACUAUAAUUGUAAAAAUAAGUAAUUUAUAUUUUUAUUAAUAAAAAUAUAAAUUACCUUAGAUGGUAUUAGUCCAGUCAUUAAUGAAUAUUUAAAUAAUAAAAAAUUAUUAAAUAAAUUAAGAGAUUCACCUCAUUAGGUUAAAUAUAUUAUGAAUAACCGAUAGUGUACAUAAGUACUGUGAAGGAAAAUUGAAAAGAAUCAAAUUUAAAAUUAUGAAGUGAAAUAGAAAUUAAAAUAAAAAAAAAAACCAUAAAUAUAUUUAUCGUAUAAUUUAAUAUUUAAUAUUUAAUAUUUACUAAAAUUCAUUAAAUAUUAAAAAUUCAAAAUGCAUACCUGUUGAAGAAUGAGUCCUCGACUUUUAAAUAUUGGCUAUUGAAACAAAAACAAAAUUAUUUUAAUAUCUAAGUGAAAACAUUAUAUAUAUAUAUAUAUUUGCCAUUUUUUAUAUACCCGAAACUGAGUGAUCUAAUUAUAUAUAAGAUAAAUAUAUAUAUAUAUAUAUAUAUAUUGGUCUGUACCAAUUAAUUAUGCAAAAUUAUUGGAUAAAAUAUAAUUAGUGGUGAAAUAUUAAUCGAACUCAGAGAUAUCUGGUUCCCUCCGAAAUGUGUUUUAGCACAGCAAUUAUUUUAUUUAAUAAAAGGGUAAAGCUCUAUUUUGAAUAUGUUAAUAUUUAUAAUAAAAUAUUAAACUAAAUUAAGAUAAACUAAUAAUAUUUUAAUUAUAUUUUAUAAUGAGUGAGACAAUGGGGGAAAAGCUUCAUUGUCAAAAGGGAAACAGCCCAUAUUUUUGAUUAAGGUUCUUAAAUUAUGAGUUAUUUAUUAAGGAAGUAAAUAAAUAAAAACAUAUAACAGGUUUGCUUAGAAGCAGCCAACCUUUAAAAAAAGCAUAAUUGCAUAUUAUAAAAUUUUUUUUUUGCAUCAAAAAUUAUAAGGAUUUAACUUUUAUACCGAAAUUAAAAAAAUAUAUUUUUAUAUAUUUGGUAGGAGGGCGUUCUAAUUUAAUUACAAAGUAAAAAAAAAAAUUAGAAGUGAUAAUGAGGAUUUAAAUAAUAUUAUAUUGAAAACUUAAUCAAUACUCUAAAAUACUAAUGAUUUCAAAAUAUUAUAUGAGUAAGUCAGAAUCUAAAAUAAUUUCGAAAGAAAAAAAUUGAUGAAAAAUAGGUAAAAAUUCCUAUACUAUAUAAAAUAUAAUAUAAAAAUUAAAUAAUAUUAAACAAAAAAUGGUACUUGUGUUUAAAAGAAUUAAAUAUAUAAUAGAAUUUAUAGAGAAAAUAUAAAUAAUUAAAAUUCAAUUAAUUAUGUAUAUUUUACAUACAAAAAUAAUAUUUAAAUAAUUUUCAAGAAAUAAAAUUAUAAAAAAUAUCUGUACAUAAUACCAAAUAUAGGUAGUUAAGUAAAAAAUACUAAAGAGUUCGAAAUAAUUAAAUCUAAGGAACUCGGCAAAAAAAUUUUUUAAUUUAUAAAAAAACGUCUUUAAAACAGAUUGCAAUAACAAAAUUCAAGCGACUGUUUAACAAAAACAUAAGUUCCCGCAAAAUUGUAAGAUUGUGUAGGGGAGCUGACGUCUGCCCGGUGCUGUAAAAUAAAAAAUUUUUAAUAUCUUUUUUAUUAAAAGGUUAUUAAAAACAAAAUUCCAGUUAACGGCGGCUGUAACUAUAACGGUCCUAAGGUAGCGAAAUUCCUUGUCGGGUGAGUUCCGACCUGCAUGAAAGACGUAACGACUUGAAAACUGUCUCAGAUUUAAAUUCGAUAAAAUAACUUUUUCUGUGAAGAUGCGGAAUAAUUUUACCUGGACAGAAAGACCCUAUGAAACUUUACUGUUUUUUUAAAUUGAUUUUUUAUUAUUAAUUGUAUAGUAUUUAAGUGGUAGAUAGUUUUUUUUUUAUCGUUUAUUGGAAACCCACUCUUUAAAUAGAAUAAAUAAACUAAUUUUAUAAUUUUAAUUUAAAAAAAAAAUUAUUUUUUUUAAAGACACUUUAUGAUAGACAGUUUAUAUGGGGCAUAGGCCUCCAAAAAGGUAAUGGGGGUGUUUUUUUUGUUAUAUUGAAUCAUAUUUUUUAUUAUUGUUUUAUUUAAAGUAUAAAGAUAAAAUAUAGCUUAAUUGUAAGACAAACAUGUCAAACAAAAACGAAAGUUUAUCUUAAUGAUUUGAUAUUUAAUUAUUGUGAAAGAUUUAUCAAUCAACGAAUUAAAGUUACUCUAGGGAUAACAGGCUUAUCAUACCCGAGAGUCCAUAUUGACGGUAUGGUUUGGCACCUCGAUGUCGGUUCAUCACUACCUGAAGCAGUAGUAUGUUUCAAGGGUUAGGCUGUUCGCCUAUUAAAGUGGUACGUGAGCUGGGUUCAGAACGUCGUGAGACAGUUCGGUCCUUAUCCGGUGAAAUUUGAAUAUUUAAGAUAUUUUUCUUUAAUACGAGAGGACCAAGAAAAAUAUAUUACUAGUGUUUUAUUUAUCGAACCUUCGGUAUUGUUAAAUAGCUAUAUAUAUAUAUAUAAAUUGCUGAAAGAAUCUAAGUAAUAAAAAAAAUCUAAAUAAAAAUAUAUUCA
rnacentral:rRNA from 1 species